CUCUGGGAACGCAAAGGGCUCAGGGCGGAAAGAG
ncrna:Paenibacillus assamensis DSM 18201 L31-Firmicutes ribosomal protein leader